rnacentral:misc_RNA from 1 species
AAAGCUUUUGCCAUGUGACCCAGAAUUGCCAAAGCUAGCUUUUUCAUUUCACUAGCAUAAGUUUCCAAAGAAUCUCUGAGCUUUGGAGGAAGUUUGUCAAAAAGGUCAUUCUUCCUGAGAUUGAAAGGAAGAGUGGUAAUGUAGAACACGUCUGACCAAUCUAGCUUCUGCUCCUCUGAUACCACAAACAGCUGCCCAAAACCUUCAUGGUUGUCUGGCUUCUGCCACAGCUUCUUCUUCUGUUCAUAUGGAAGUCCGAAGAAACUCUCAAUUUCCAACUUGACUCCCUCCAGAAAAUCAGUGCUUACUCCGUGGUUCACAACCUGGAAGAAACCCCAUUCUCUGCAAGCGGACUGCAAGCUCUCCAACUCCGAAUCCAUGGAAUCUCCAACGGCCAAUCUUU